rnacentral:lncRNA from 1 species
UAACCUCUAGUUCCAAAUAUUAGAUUGUGCAAAUAAUUAGUUAUUCACUAAGCAAAGUCCACAAUUUGUCCCCUUUAAAAUUAAAUAAAGAAAGGCACGUCAACUCUUUCGAUUUGAGCACCUUAUCGAUUGCAGUAGAUGCCAACCUCUUCGACAUUUUUCAAGCGAGCAUUCUUGGAAUUGCAUUCGAAUAUUUCUUGGUAAACUUGAUUCUCAAACUUGGAAUCGCUUCAAAUGCCCAAAUUUAUUGUAAAACAAACAUUAUUGUCUCACAGCACAAAUUUAUAGACAAAAUAUAAUAUAAAGUAUAUUGUUUGUUCAUACCAUUAUUGCAAGGGAAAGUUGUAUAAAGAAUACCUACACUGUGACUCCUUUCCUACAUCUGAAUUUCUCAAUUUACCUCCUAUCUGACGUUUGAAUACAUUAAUUGUGUAUUCAAAUGAUACUUCCCCCAUGGGAUACUUGUCGAACAUGUCGAUACAUCCACCGAGUCAAACCACCAUAAAUUAAUGCACGUGUUCUCUUCCAUGGUCCACAUGACGUACGCUAUGAUAACGGAUAAGCCCUAACUUGUACUCGUUGCUUUUUUUCAACUUACAAAUGCAUUGUACAUCUCCCGUUGUAAUCUUUCCCACUUUUCUUAAAGUAUUUAUUCACAAUUUGACAUUGUGCCCCCAAUAUCUUAUCUACAUCUUCACAAUUACUUGCAUUCAAACUGGUCACCAACACAAAUUUCUCCAACCAAAUCUUGCAUGUUUAUCAUCAAUCUUAAACAAUACUUUUUUUUUGGUGAUCUUUGUCAUUUGCAACCGUAAUUGAUAAAAAACUUGUGAAGCUAAUUUCAUUUCCCUCAGUUCUUGAAGUGAUACAAAGCAUGUCUCUUAAAGAAUUUUUUUUUUUUUUUUUUUUGGCUUUGUGUCCAACUUAUCAUAAACAUCAUACACCAUUUUCAGUUUGCAUGUAUUCAUUAUUGUAGCAUCAAUUUGCAUAUUCUCCAUAGCACUGCAAAAUACAAAACAACUGAUGAUUAGCAAAGACGUAAAUCACAUAAAGUAACAAAAUAAGUUGAGUUGCACAUUAAUUGGAGAUGCUAAUUUUGGCAAAAUAAAGUACGUUGGACGGACUAAUUUUCUUAUAUAGCCCUUGUUUGACCCCCAUUUUUUUGGAAGAAUGAAUUUUUGAAUAGUGCAUUGAUGAGAAAUGUGUGGUUAAAAAAAUAAGAAAAAGUUUU